ACACAGAGCCAAGGCCUCUUCUGCUUCUCACCCCACCCCACCAGUGAGGAGGCUGGGGGUGCGCAAGAAGUUGGGAGGGGACACAGCUGGGACAGCUGACCCCAGCUGACCUAAGGGAUAUCCCAGACCAUAUGACGUCAUGCUCAGCCUAUAAAGCUGGGGGAAGAAGAAGGAAGGGGGGGACGUUCGGAGUGAUGGCGUUUGUCUUCCCAAGUAACUGUUACACGUGAUGGAGCCCUGCUUUCCUGGAGAUGGCUGAACACCUGCCUGCCGAUGGGGAGUGGUGAAUGAAUUCCUUGUUUUGCUUUGCUUGUGUGCGUGGCUUUUGCUUUACUGGUUAAACUGUCUUUAUCUCAACCCGUGAGUUUUCUCACUCUUACCCUUCUGAUUCUCUCCCCCAUCCCAUGGGGGGGGAGUGAGCAAGCAGCUGUGUGGGGCUUAGUUGCCAACUGGGGUUAAACCAUGACAUGAGGACACCCCCCCAACACCCCCUCCAAUCUUUUGAGAGCAAGAUGACUGACUAGUUUUCUCAAAGAGACAUUCUGCAACUUUCCCUAGAUGCAAGUAUACUUCUAGAAAGCUUUGAAUUACUAAGAGGUAAACUGAUUAAAUUUAUCUUAAAUGCCCCCCUUUCUGCAGGUUAGAAAAUGGAUCCCCUGUUUUUGGUGUGUGACAGAGAAUGGUUACUUUGAAAGCAGAUAUUUGGAGGCUGCCAUACACUCUUGAUUAUUCUGAAAGCCAGUGAAGAAAGAAAACAAAUAUCUACAGUAAAAGACAAGCAAGCAAUGGGAAUGACUAGAAAAAGUGAAGAGAGGUGCAGUCAGUUUUGUGGAUUUCAGGUCACUGUGUCUAUGUGAAGAUGUAAACCUGUGAGUUUUUCAAGCUCAAUUAGAAAUACCUUCCUACAAGGAUCCCAGAAUUAGUAUUGUGACAACAUAUUGGAAAUGAAAUUGUCAACAAAGGCUCGUAUUGCAUCAUCAGAAUCCACUUGACACUUUGUGGAGAGCAAGAGUCUCACUUUCAGAGAUUUAUAGGCUCCAGACUUAGUAUUAGAAAGUGUGUGUUUUGUGAAAAUUCAUCUAAAGAAACAAACCCCACCCAGUCAGCUGUUAACAGCAAGUAUAUCUGAAAUACCAUCAAAUGCCACUGUUUUGUCCUCCUGGCAUGUAUGUGUCUUUUCACUGUGUUUGGCCAAAGAUAAUUAUAAUGAUAAAAAUCUCCUGUGAAUGACUUGAGAUGUAAACCUGCCUAACAGCCUAAAUAUACUUCCUGGAGGACUUGGACAACUGCCAGAACUGUCGUGAGAUGGUCUUUUGCCCUCUUGCAUGGGAAGAAACAGCAGGGUUCAGUACAAUACGGAAGGCCAACGAUGACAGAGGCAAUGCUACACUAUGGGAUUAAUUGUCUGUCUGGACCAUAGGACCCAAACUCCUGGAAGAAGCAGCACUGUCCAUUCUGUGAAGUAUGACUGACAAAAAGUCUUGACUUGGGAAAGAUCUGAAGUGAGUUCAUAAAGGAGAUGCCAUUGGCAUCUCUUCUUUUCUUACAUGACCUAAUUGCAUGGAAAAGCCUGACCUAGGGUUAGGUGAAACUGAAGAACAGUUGUUGAACAGUGUUUGAUGUUGUUUGGCAUUUGCCGAUUUUGUCGUUUAGUGUUUCUGUUGGGUAGUUAAUGUACAAAGUAGGGUAUGUGAGCCAAACGGAACGUUUUCUGAUGCUUAAUGCAGGGACAAUAAGGAAGUCAGAGAAAGCCCACUCUUAAAAUCUCAGUUCAUGCACUCUCCUUUCGAAAUCCAAGCAGGUUUCACUAACCCGCUGCAUUUAAUCUCAGUAUCUACUCCGUCAUUAAAGCACUGAUUUGUUCUUCUGUACUGAAAAUUACACUGUUCUCAUGGAAACUGCCAUCACUUCUGGAGAAGACUAUAUCUAGCCUUUUAAACCUUUAUAAGUGGACAUUAAUGGCAUUAUAUAACUUUAAUGUAAAAUAAACAGGAAUGCUUGGAAAAAAACAACUGCUUUCACAGACUUUUAUUAGAGCCAGUAUACAGAGAGCCUGCAUUUGCGUGGCUGAGGAGACAUGUUUUACCUAUGUUUUCUGAGGCAAGUGUGCCAUAUAGUUUUAUUUCUGCCA